ensembl:lncRNA
GCUGAGACGCAGCGGAGCGGAGGUGGAGUGCCUGGAUUAAAACAGGACAUAUUAGCAGCAUUUAACCUUCAGUUACUCUUUAUGUAGUUAGAUAGGAGUCAUGUUUCUUUUUAGCUGAAAAACAUUACACCCAGGUAACCUGCAGUGUUGAAAACGUGUUUUCCAGUGAUGUUUGCUACCCUACAAUCCGUCCUACUCUGUAGUAAAUUCAGCGACAUUUGACCGUCCUGUUGCUCCCACUGAAAUAGAGACAGUCAGGUUAAUAAUGGAUAUAAGGAAGUUUUUUCAAAAACAGGAGCCACAUUCAGUCCAAAGAGGGAGAGAGGAAAGAGGGGAACAUGAGGAGAAAGUACAAGGUCAGGAAGAACCAGCCAGCGGGGAAGGAGGAGCACAUUUCAAGAGCGUUGCAGCUGAGAUUAAAACCUGA